rnacentral:lncRNA from 1 species
CCUCCCAAGGACACUUGUAGCCCGGAGCUGCUCAUGUCCUUGAUCCAGACAAAGUGUGCCGACGACGCCAUGACCCUGGUACUAAAGAAAGAGCUUGUUGCGCAUUUGAAGUGCACCAUCACGGGCCUGACCUUCUGGGACCCCAGCUGUGAGGCAGAGGACAGGGGUGACAAGUUUGUCUUGCGCAGUGCUUACUCCAGCUGUGGCAUGCAGGUGUCAGCAAGUAUGAUCAGCAAUGAGGCGGUGGUCAAUAUCCUGUCGAGCUCAUCACCACAGCGGGUGAGAUGGACAGUCACGUGCUAACCCACCUGGCCCAGGGGCUGCUGCUGGGCCGGGGCCUCUUCCUGGCCUGGGAGGGAGCAGGCCUCGGGAAACUCCUGGCAAGCCAUGUGUGUCUGGAAUGCCUCGGUCUCCCCUUCUGUAUGACCGGAGCAGGACUGCUGAGGGUGACGCUCUUGGUCUCUCAAGUCAGAGGGCUUAGCACAUACUGGCUGUGUGGCCUUGGGCAAGUCACUUUAGUUUUCUGGGCCCAAAGGUGGCCUAAGAAAGGACUCUGCGCCACAGGGUGCUUCUGGGCAGCCAAUGAGGUGCUGUGUGGAAGCUCUUCACACAGCCUGGCAGCUGGUGCCUCCUUGAUAAAUAUUAGUUUAAAAAAAAAAAAAA